CAGAGUUCAUGCCCCUCGGGGUAGACCUCCCACCCUUUGUAUACAUUGCCUUUGUUGCUUUGGCGGGCCGCCUCGGCCACCGGCUCUUCGCUGGUGAGUGCUCGCCAGAGGACCCAACUCUGUAAUUUUGUAAUAUCUGAGUACUAUAUAAUAGUUA
rnacentral:misc_RNA from 1 species